rnacentral:rRNA from 1 species
UAGGGAAUAUUGGACAAUGGGCGCAAGCCUGAUCCAGCAAUGCCGCGUGAGUGAUGAAGGCCUUAGGGUUGUAAAGCUCUUUUGGCGGGGACGAUGAUGACGGUACCCGCAGAAGAAGCCCCGGCUAACUUCGUGCCAGCAGCCGCGGUAAUACGAAGGGGGCUAGCGUUGUUCGGAAUUACUGGGCGUAAAGGGCGCGUAGGCGGCGCAUGAAGUCAGGCGUGAAAGCCCCGGGCUCAACCUGGGAAUUGCGCUUGAUACUCUAGUGCUUGAGUUCGGGAGAGGAGAGUGGAAUUCCCAGUGUAGAGGUGAAAUUCGUAGAUAUUGGGAAGAACACCAGUGGCGAAGGCGGCUCUCUGGACCGAUACUGACGCUGAUGCGCGAAAGCGUGGGGAGCAAACAGGAUUAGAUACCCCCGUAGUCC